rnacentral:rRNA from 1 species
UGGGGAAUCUUGCGCAAUGGGCGAAAGCCUGACGCAGCGACGCCGCGUGAGCGAUGACGGCCUUCGGGUUGUAAAGCUCUGUGGGGAGAGAAGAAUAAGGGUUGGCUAACAUCCAGCUCGAUGACGGUAUCUCCUUAGCAAGCACCGGCUAACUCUGUGCCAGCAGCCGCGGUAAGACAGAGGGUGCAAACGUUGUUCGGAAUCACUGGGCGUAAAGCGCGUGUAGGCGGUCCUGCAAGUCGGAUGUGAAAUCCCACGGCUCAACCAUGGAAGUGCAUUCGAAACUGCUUGACUAGAGUCCUGGAGAGGAAGGUGGAAUACUCGGUGUAGAGGUGAAAUUCGUAGAUAUCGAGUGGAACAUCGGUGGCGAAGGCGGCCUUCUGGACAGUGACUGACGCUGAAACGCGAAAGCGUGGGGAGCAAACAGG